rnacentral:lncRNA from 1 species
CUUUGGGAUGCCAGCCCAGGGCUCAGGAGGACAGCUGCCAAAGAUCGUGAGUGUGAGCAAGCUGGAAGAAUCUUCAUUUCCCUACUUGAGAGAAUGGAUAACUGAAGCACAGAAUCACAGUCAAGACCUACAACAGAACACAACAGCUUCAACAGAUGGAUCAAAUCUACAAGUCAACAUGGUUAGAGCACAAAGUUGUCGCAUUGUGUGCUAAAAUCAUAUUGGGAGACACAGUGUAGUGAUGCAUGCCUUUAUUCCCAGCAAGGAGGAGGAAGAGGAAGAGGCAGGUGGAUCUCUAUGAGUUCAAGGCCAGCCUGAUUGUAUUAGAGAGAUUUUUUUUUCCAUUGUCAUAAAACGCCAUGACAAUAAACACCUUGGGGAGGAAAGGUUUUAUUUUGCUUAUAGUUCCAUAUCACAGCCCAUCAUCAAAGGAAAUCAGUGUGGAAACUCAAGGCAGGAACUGAAGCAGAGGUCAUUGAGGAGUGCCACAUACUGGCUUGCUCCCCAUAGCCUGCUCAACCUGCUUCCUUUCUUUCUAAGAUUGUAUUUUUAAGUAUGUGUAUGUAUGCCACACACAUGCACAUGCACACACACAUGUAUGCACGCACGUGUGCAAGAGUGCCAGGUUCCCUAGAGCUUGAUUUACAAGCACUUAUGAGCUGCUUGGCAUGAGUUCUGGGAACUUCUGGAAAAUAGCAUAUGCUCUUAGUUGCUGAGCCAUCUCUCCUGCAUUCUUA